rnacentral:rRNA from 1 species
UACAGAGGGUGCGAGCGUUGUCCGGAAUCACUGGGCGUAAAGGGUGUGUAGGCGGUUCUUUAAGUUUGGUGUGAAAUCUCCCGGCUCAACCGGGAGGGUGCGCCGAAUACUGAGGGACUAGAGUACGGGAGAGGAAAGUGGAAUUCCUGGUGUAGCGGUGAAAUGCGUAGAUAUCAGGAGGAACACCGGUGGUGUAGACGGCUUUCUGGACCGUAACUGACGCUGAGACACGAAAGCGUGGGUAGCAAACAGG